rnacentral:rRNA from 2 species
CGGGUUUAAUAAAUUGAAUUGAAUGGUGCUUGCACCUGAUUGAUUUUGGUCGCCAACGAGUGGCGGACGGGUGAGUAACACGUAGGUAACCUGCCCAGAAGCGGGGGACAACAUUUGGAAACAGAUGCUAAUACCGCAUAACAACGUUGUUCGCAUGAACAACGCUUAAAAGAUGGCUUCUCGCUAUCACUUCUGGAUGGACCUGCGGUGCAUUAGCUUGUUGGUGGGGUAAUGGCCUACCAAGGCGAUGAUGCAUAGCCGAGUUGAGAGACUGAUCGGCCACAAUGGGACUGAGACACGGCCCAUACUCCUACGGGAGGCAGCAGUAGGGAAUCUUCCACAAUGGGCGCAAGCCUGAUGGAGCAACACCGCGUGAGUGAAGAAGGGUUUCGGCUCGUAAAGCUCUGUUGUUAAAGAAGAACACGUAUGAGAGUAACUGUUCAUACGUUGACGGUAUUUAACCAGAAAGUCACGGCUAACUACGUGCCAGCAGCCGCGGUAAUACGUAGGUGGCAAGCGUUAUCCGGAUUUAUUGGGCGUAAAGAGAGUGCAGGCGGUUUUCUAAGUCUGAUGUGAAAGCCUUCGGCUUAACCGGAGAAGUGCAUCGGAAACUGGAUAACUUGAGUGCAGAAGAGGGUAGUGGAACUCCAUGUGUAGCGGUGGAAUGCGUAGAUAUAUGGAAGAACACCAGUGGCGAAGGCGGCUACCUGGUCUGCAACUGACGCUGAGACUCGAAAGCAUGGGUAGCGAACAGGAUUAGAUACCCUGGUAGUCCAUGCCGUAACGAUGAGUGCUAGGUGUUGGAGGGUUUCCCGCCCUUCAGUGCCCGGAGCUAACGCAUUAAGCACUCCGGCCUGGGGGAGUACGACCCGCAAGGUUUGAAACUCAAGGAUUGACUGGGGCCCCGCACAGGCGGUGGGAGGCAAUGGUGGUUUUUAAGUC